rnacentral:rRNA from 1 species
UACGUGAAACUGCUUAGAGGUUAAGCCCGAUGAACCUGAAUAUCCAUUAUGGAAAAUUCAUCAUUAUGCCAAUGAUAUUUAAACAAUAUUAUUAUAAUAGUGUGCAUUUUUUCUGUAUAAGGACAUUGUAAUCUAUUAACAUUAUAAUUAUUUAUCAAAAGAUCAUUGGCUCAAGUUUAUUCAAAUUAAUUUGCUUGCAUCUUAACAUAGAAUAAAUGCCUGGUGAUUUGAUAAAGUGUUGAUAGAUUUAUUAUAUAUAGUGCUUAAAUUCUUAUGAAUUUUAUAAUGGCAUUUGGAUCAUGAUUCAGAUGUUUAAUUUAUAUGCACUUAUAUGAUUAACAAUGCGAAAGAUUCAGGAUACCUUCGGGACCCGUCUUGAAACACGGACCAAGGAGUCUAACAUAUGUGCGAGUAAUUGGGAAUUUGAAAACCCAAAGGCGUAAUUAACUUAACUGGUUUUAAUGGGAUUAGUUUUUAUUCUAAUUUUAGUUUAUUAAUUCAAUCCCGGGGCGUUCUAUACAGUUAUGUAUAAUGGUAUUUAUACUAUUUAUAUCUCUAACUAGAGCGUACCUUGAGCAUAUAUGCUGUGACCCGAAAGAUGGUGAACUAUACUUGAUCAGGUUGAAGUCA